rnacentral:rRNA from 1 species
AAUAGAUACCCGGGUAGUCCACGCCGUAAACGAUGAGUGCUAAGUGUUAGAGGGUUUCCGCCCUUUAGUGCUGAAGUUAACGCAUUAAGCACUCCGCCUGGGGAGUACGGUCGCAAGACUGAAACUCAAAGGAAUUGACGGGGGCCCGCACAAGCGGUGGAGCAUGUGGUUUAAUUCGAAGCAACGCGAAGAACCUUACCAGGUCUUGACAUCCUCUGACAACCCUAGAGAUAGGGCUUUCCCUUCGGGGACAGAGUGACAGGUGGUGCAUGGUUGUCGUCAGCUCGUGUCGUGAGAUGUUGGGUUAAGUCCCGCAACGAGCGCAACCCUUGAUCUUAGUUGCCAGCAUUUAGUUGGGCACUCUAAGGUGACUGCCGGUGACAAACCGGAGGAAGGUGGGGAUGACGUCAAAUCAUCAUGCCCCUUAUGACCUGGGCUACACACGUGCUACAAUGGGCGGUACAAAGAGUCGCGAGACCGCGAGGUGGAGCUAAUCUCAUAAAACCGUUCUCAGUUCGGAUUGUAGG